UGAGGGUGGGGGAUAUCUUGGAGGCCCAAAGUAUAUAAACUCCUCGAGUCUCCUUCAACGAUUAGGAUCGAAGCUCACGAGGAAAUUGAACUUGUGGAUCCUUGAAGUUAGGCAACAACAUCAACCAUCGUGCAGUCAUCGAAGCUGAUAUUACUCUGAGACUGAGUAUAAGAUAUGAGGAAUCUCCCUCUCUCUUGCAUAUGAGGAAUCACAUCGUUGCAACUUAAAUUCAAGCUAAGAAUCGAAGUUCCAAAGAUGUCAAAGGGAUCUUCUAACCACUCCAACCACGCCUUUGAAAUUCCAGCCCCCCAAUGAAAGGAAAUGAAAAGCAGCUUGAAAUGGGCUUCUUGGUCUCUUGUAGAAUUCACUGUGAGAUUAAUGGUGGAGGCCUAUUUGGUCAUUGUGUUGUGGUAUAAGUCAUGCGUAUCUAAGCUCGAGUCUUGGCGAAGAACAGUGAUUUUACCUGCAAUUCAAAGGGUGCACCAGAGGUUCCAAACUAUAGUGGAAUGAAUGAGAAUAUUUAUAUUUAAUUUGUCUCAUGUCUUUGGUAUCUUCGA